rnacentral:rRNA from 1 species
CCUACGGGUGGCAGCAGUGAGGAAUAUUGGUCAAUGGGCGCUAGCCUGAACCAGCUAAGUCGCGUGAAGGAUGACUGCCCUAUGGGUUGUAAACUUCUUUUAUCUGGGAAUAAAGUGCAGUAUGUAUACUGCUUUUCAUGUACCUUAUGAAUAAGGCUCGGCCAAGCUCGUGCCAGCAGCCGCGGUAAUACGGCGGGUUCGAACGUUAUCCGGAUUUAUUGGGGUUAAAGGGAUCGUAGUCUGGUUGGUAAGUCAGUUGUGAAAGUUUGCGGGACAACCGUAAAAUUGCAGUGGAUACUGGCAUCCUUGAGUACAGGAGAGGUAGGCAGAAUUCGUGGGGUAGCGGUGAAAUGCUUAGAUAUCACGAAGAACUCCGAUUGCGAAGGCAGCCUGCUGGACUGUAACUGACGCUGAUGCUCGAAAGUGUGGGUAUCAAACAGGAUUAGAUACCCUUGUAGUC